rnacentral:rRNA from 1 species
AACGAACGCUGGCGGCAGGCUUAACACAUGCGAGUCGAGCGCCCCGCAAGGGGAGCGGCAGACGGGUGAGUAACGCGUGGGAACGUACCUUUUGGUUCGGAACAACUCCGGGAAACUGGAGCUAAUACCGGAUAAGCCCUAACGGGGAAAGAUUUAUCGCCGAAAGAUCGGCCCGCGUCUGAUUAGCUAGUUGGUGAGGUAACGGCUCACCAAGGCGACGAUCAGUAGCUGGUCUGAGAGGAUGAUCAGCCACACUGGGACUGAGACACGGCCCAGACUCCUACGGGAGGCAGCAGUGAGGAAUAUUGGACAAUGGGCGCAAGCCUGAUCCAGCCAUGCCGCGUGAGUGAUGAAGGCCUUAGGGUUGUAAAGCUCUUUUGUCCGGGAAGAUAAUGACUGUACCGGAAGAAUAAGCCCCGGCUAACUUCGUG